AAUCACCGGCUUUUUCAAUCAA
rnacentral:miRNA from 1 species